AAUCAACGCUGGCGGCGUGCCUAACACAUGCAAGUCGAACGCGAAAGUCCCGCAAGGGAUGAGUAGAGUGGCGAGCGGGUGAGUAACGCGUGGGUGACCUACCUCGGAGUGGGGGAUAACGUCUCGAAAGGGACGCUAAUACCGCAUGACAUCCGGCCUUUGGAGAGGCGGAGAUCAAAGCUGGGGCUCGCAAGACCUGGCGCUUUGAGAGGGGCCCGCGUCCGAUUAGCUAGUUGGUGGGGUAAUGGCCUACCAAGGCGACGAUCGGUAGCCGGCCUAAGAGGGCGGACGGCCACACUGGGACUGAGACACGGCCCAGACUCCUACGGGAGGCAGCAGUGGGGAAUUGUUCGCAAUGGGCGCAAGCCUGACGGAGCAAUACCGCGUGAGGGAGGACGGCUCUUGGGUUGUAAACCUCUUUUAUCAGGGAAGAAGAUCUGACGGUACCUGAUGAAUCAGCAUC
rnacentral:rRNA from 1 species